AGUGAACGCUGGCGGUAGGCCUAACACAUGCCAGUCGAACGGCAGCACAGUAAGAGCUUGCUCUUACGGGUGGCGAGUGGCGGACGGGUGAGCAAUACAUCGGAAUCUACUUUUUCGUGGGGGAUAACGUAGGGAAACUUACGCUAAUACCGCAUACGACCUACGGGUGAAAGCAGGGGAUCUUCGGACCUUGCGCGAUUGAAUGAGCCGAUGUCGGAUUAGCUAGUUGGCGGGGUAAAGGCCCACCAAGGCGACGAUCCGUAGCUGGUCUGAGAGGAUGAUCAGCCACACUGGAACUGAGACACGGUCCAGACUCCUACGGGAGGCAGCAGUGGGGAAUAUUGGACAAUGGGCGCAAGCCUGAUCCAGCCAUACCGCGUGGGUGAAGAAGGCCUUCGGGUUGUAAAGCCCUUUUGUUGGGAAAGAAAAGCAGCAGGUUAAUACCCCGCUGUUCUGACGGUACCCAAAGAAUAAGCACCGGCUAACUUCGUG
rnacentral:rRNA from 1 species